rnacentral:misc_RNA from 1 species
AACAAGGCGUACCUGCGGACCUGCGGAGGGAUCAUUACAAGUGACCCCGGUCUAACCACCGGGGUGUUCAUAACCCUUUGUUGUCCGACUCUGUUGCCUCCGGGGCGACCCUGCCUUCGGGCGGGGGCUCCGGGUGGACACUUCAAACUCUUGCGUAACUUUGCAGUCUGAGUAAACUUAAUUAAUAAAUUAAAACUUUCAACAACGGAUCU